rnacentral:rRNA from 1 species
AAGUUAGCGGCGGACGGGUGAGUAACACGUGGGUAACCUGCCCAUAAGACUGGGAUAACUCCGGGAAACCGGGGCUAAUACCGGAUAACAUUUUGCACCGCAUGGUGCGAAAUUCAAAGGCGGCUUCGGCUGUCACUUAUGGAUGGACCCGCGUCGCAUUAGCUAGUUGGUGAGGUAACGGCUCACCAAGGCAACGAUGCGUAGCCGACCUGAGAGGGUGAUCGGCCACACUGGGACUGAGACACGGCCCAGACUCCUACGGGAGGCAGCAGUAGGGAAUCUUCCGCAAUGGACGAAAGUCUGACGGAGCAACGCCGCGUGAGUGAUGAAGGCUUUCGGGUCGUAAAACUCUGUUGUUAGGGAAGAACAAGUGCUAGUUGAAUAAGCUGGCACCUUGACGGUACCUAACCAGAAAGCCACGGCUAACUACGUGCCAGCAGCCGCGGUAAUACGUAGGUGGCAAGCGUUAUCCGGAAUUAUUGGGCGUAAAGCGCGCGCAGGUGGUUUCUUAAGUCUGAUGUGAAAGCCCACGGCUCAACCGUGGAGGGUCAUUGGAAACUGGGAGACUUGAGUGCAGAAGAGGAAAGUGGAAUUCCAUGUGUAGCGGUGAAAUGCGUAGAGAUAUGGAGGAACACCAGUGG